rnacentral:rRNA from 1 species
CUACACGAAGCUGGAAUCGCUAGUAAUCGCGGAUCAGAAUGCCGCGGUGAAUACGUUCCCGGGUCUUGUACACACCGCCCGUCACACCAUGGGAGUCAGUAACGCCCGAAGUCAGUGACCUAACCGAAAGGGAGGAGCUGCCGAAGGCGGGACGGAUGACUGGGGUGAAGUCGUAACAAGGUAUC